AUUGAACGCUGGCGGCAGGCUUAACACAUGCAAGUCGAGCGGUAACAGAGAGAAGCUUGCUUCUCUGCUGACGAGCGGCGGACGGGUGAGUAAUGCCUAGGAAUCUGCCUAGUAGUGGGGGAUAACUUGCCGAAAGGUAAGCUAAUACCGCAUACGUCCUACGGGAGAAAGGAGGGGACCUUCGGGCCUUUCGCUAUUAGAUGAGCCUAGGUCGGAUUAGUUAGUUGGUGAGGUAAUGGCUCACCAAGACCGCGAUCCGUAACUGGUCUGAGGGGAUGAUCAGUCACACUGGAACUGGGACAGGGUCCAGACUCCUACGGGAGGCAGCAGUGGGGAAUAUUGGACAAGGGGGGGAACCCUGAUCCAGCCAUGCCGCGUGUGUGAAGAAGGUCUUAGGUUUGUAAAGCACUUUAAGUUGGGAGGAAGAGCAGUUAGCUAAUAUUUGACUGUUUUGACGUUACCGACAGAAUAAGCACCGGCUAACUUCGUGCCAGCAACCGCCGUAA
rnacentral:rRNA from 1 species